GCCGGGGUGGCGAAAUUGGUAUACGCAGCGGAUUCAAAAUCCGCCGGUGGAAACACCUUGACGGUUCGAGUCCGUCCCUCGGCA
rnacentral:tRNA from 1 species